UACGUAGGGCGCAAGCGUUGUCCGGAAUUAUUGGGCGUAAAGAGCUCGUAGGCGGUUUGUCGCGUCUGCUGUGAAAACCUAAGGCUCAACCUUGGGCUUGCAGUGGGUACGGGCAGACUAGAGUGCGGUAGGGGUGACUGGAAUUCCUGGUGUAGCGGUGGAAUGCGCAGAUAUCAGGAGGAACACCGAUCGCGAAGGCAGGUCACUGGGCCGCAACUGACGCUGAGGCGCGACAGCGUGGGGAGCAAACAGG
rnacentral:rRNA from 1 species